rnacentral:rRNA from 1 species
CACGUAGGCACCAAGCGUUGUCCGGAUUUAUUGGGCGUAAAGAGCUCGUAGGCGGUUCGGUAAGUCGGGUGUGAAAACUCCGGGCUCAACUCGGAGACGCCACUUGAUACUGCCAUGACUCGAGUCCGGUAGGGGAGUGCGGAAUUCCUGGUGUAGCGGUGAAAUGCGCAGAUAUCAGGAGGAACACCGGUGGCGAAGGCGGCACUCUGGGCCGGUACUGACGCUGAGGAGCGAAAGCGUGGGGAGCGAACAGG